rnacentral:pre_miRNA from 1 species
CAACUACUCCCUUCGUUCGGAAUUACUUGUCUCGAAAAUGGAUGUAUCUAUAACUAAAAUAUGUCUAGAUACAUCCAUUUUCGCGACAAGUAAUUCCGAACGGAGGGAAUAGUUA